UACGAAGGGGGCUAGCGUUGUUCGGAUUUACUGGGCGUAAAGCGCGCGCAGGCGGUCCUUCAAGUCAGGGGUGAAAGCCCAGAGCUCAACUCUGGAACUGCCUUUGAGACUGUAGGACUUGGGUAUGGGAGAGGUGAGUGGAAUUCCGAGUGUAGAGGUGAAAUUCGUAGAUAUUCGGAAGAACACCAGUGGCGAAGGCGGCUCACUGGCCCAUUACCGACGCUCAGGCGCGAUAGCGUGGGGAGCAAACAGG
rnacentral:rRNA from 2 species